UACGGAGGGUGCAAGCGUUAUCCGGAUUUACUGGGUCUAAAGGGUGCGUAGGCGGAUUUGUAAGUCAGUGGUGAAAGCCUGGAGCUUAACUCCGGAAUUGCCAUUGAUACUGCUUUUCUUGAGUACAGUUGAGGUGGGCGGAAUGUGUCAUGUAGCGGUGAAAUGCUUAGAUAUGACACAGAACACCGAUUGCGAAGGCAGCUCGCUAAACUGUAACUGACGCUGAGGCACGAAAGCGUGGGGAUCGAACAGG
rnacentral:rRNA from 1 species